rnacentral:lncRNA from 1 species
AUAAGGUCCUUGUCAUACAUAUCAUACACAUAACACACAUAUUUGAGCACACACCAAAAAGAUGGGUGUUAAGUUGUAUUAAAAACAAAAGGUUUAAAAAAGAAUAACAGUGUGAAGUCAGUGCAGGACAAUUUAUGACUAAUAUCAGGAAGUCCUUGUUAACAAUACCAUCUAUUAUUAGAUGAAAAUAGCCUCCCCAGGGACAUCAGGGAGGCACUAUGACUUGAGACAUUUUGGCCUAGACAAAGUACUGGUAAGCACAGGAGAGAAAUAAAGCACUAUCUUGGGCUCAUGAAAUUGGGCCUGCAUCAGGCUCUGUGCUUAGAGGGGAGUCUGCUUGAGAUUUUCUCUCUCCCUCUGCCUCUUUACCCACCACCCCAUCUUUAAAAAAAAGUACAGAGAUUAUGGCAUGUCAGCUUCUGUGACUUCCCCCACCUGUGUGUUCCGCAUCCCAGUCGCCAGACCUAGGAAGUGACAUCCCAUCUUAUGCACUAAUCAGACUCUACCUACAGGGUCAGGUGUACUUCAGGGUAUCACAGUGUGAGAGGGUGUUUGAGGAAUGGAUUGUGUCCAGAAGUGAGGUGAAAUUACCUCACACUGGGAUGGGUGGAAGACCCAAGAGCGUUUAGAAAGAGGGUGGUCAUGAGAAGCAAAACUGUGCUCACUCGGGAUGACUUGAGAGGACAGUGUCAGGACAAGUGGAAUGAGCAACAAAGGGCAAGUAUUGGUUCAACCCAAAGAAGAUAUUUCCAGUGGUCUCAGUUGACAACCGUGGGAUGGAUUGAUAAUGAGCCACCUGUCACUGCAAGUGUUCGAUCAGAGGCAGAACAGUUUUUUUCUCCUGUAUGGCACAAGUCGGGAUUCACACAUGGGAUGAGUGACCAGUGGUUUCUGUUCUCCCAAGCUUUGAGUCUUGAGAAAAGCAGCCAGCUGGCUAGCCAGACAGGAGACGCCAUUGCCAGCAGAGGGCGCUCUUACAGGCGAACAAGGAGCUGGAGGCCUGGGCACUGGCUGGUGGUGCCAGGGGAAGUGAGCGAUGGGAUCCAGAGUGAAGGAUGGCUGGGGCCUGAUCACCGGGCAGCCAGCCGCCCCCAAGCAAGCAGCACCACAGCGUCAUGCGUACCUGCCCAACCUGCAUGGUUGUUUAUGUUCCACCCUUAA